rnacentral:rRNA from 1 species
GACGAACGCUGGCGGCGUGCUUAACACAUGCAAGUCGAACGGAAAGGCCCUGCUUUUGUGGGGUGCUCGAGUGGCGAACGGGUGAGUAACACGUGAGUAACCUGCCCUUGACUUUGGGAUAACUUCAGGAAACUGGGGCUAAUACCGGAUAUGAGCUCCUGCUGCAUGGUGGGGGUUGGAAAGUUUCGGCGGUUGGGGAUGGACUCGCGGCUUAUCAGCUUGUUGGUGGGGUAGUGGCUUACCAAGGCUUUGACGGGUAGCCGGCCUGAGAGGGUGACCGGACACAUUGGGACUGAGAUACGGCCCAGAAUCCUACGGGAGGCAGCAGUGGGGAAUAUUGCACAAUGGGCGGAAGCCUGAUGCAGCAACGCCGCGUGCGGGAUGACGGCCUUCGGGUUGUAAACCGCUUUCGCCUGUGACGAAGCGUGAGUGACGGUAAUGGGUAAAGAAGCACCGGCUAACUACGUG